rnacentral:rRNA from 1 species
GACGAACGCUGGCGGCGUGCUUAACACAUGCAAGUCGAACGGAAAGACCCUGCUUUUGUGGGGUGCUCGAUUGGCGAACGGGUGAGUAACACGUGUGUAACCUGCCCUUGUCUUUGGGAUAACUUCAGGAAACUGGGGCUAAUACCGGAUAGGAGCUCUUGCUGCAUGUUGGUGGAUGGAAAGAUUCGGCGGUGGGGGCUGGACUCGCGGCUUAUCAGCUUGUUGGUGGAGUAGUUGCUUACCAAGGCUUCGACGGAUAGCCGGCCUGGGAGGGUGACCGGCCACAAUGGUACUGAGAUACGGCGCAGUAUCCUACGGGAGGCAGCGGGGGGGAAUAUUGCGCAGUGGGCGGGAGCCAGAUACAACAACGCCGCGUGCGGAAUGCCGGCCUUCGAGUUGUAAACCUCUUUCGCCUGUAACGAAGCGUGAGUGACGGUAAUGGGUAAAGAAGCACCGGCUAACUACGUG